rnacentral:rRNA from 1 species
UACAGAGGGUGCGAGCGUUGUUCGGAAUUAUUGGGCGUAAAGGGCGCGUAGGCGGCGCCACAAGUCACUUGUGAAAACUCUGGGCUCAACUCAGAGCCUGCAAGCGAAACUGUGGUGCUGGAGUAUGGGAGAGGUGCGUGGAAUUCCCGGUGUAGCGGUGAAAUGCGUAGAUAUCAGGAAGAACACCCGUGGCGAAAGCGGCUCUCUGGAACGGUACUGACGCUGAGACGCGAAAGCGUGGGGAGCGAACAGG